rnacentral:rRNA from 1 species
AUUGCCUUAGUAACGGCGAGUGAAGCGGCAAGAGCUCAAAUUUGAAAUCUAGCACUUUCAGUGUUCGAGUUGUAAUUUGAAGAAGGUAUCUUUGGAGUUGGCCCCUGUCUAUGUUCCUUGGAACAGGACGUCACAGAGGGUGAGAAUCCCGUGCGAUGGGGAGACCAAUUCUUUGUAAAGUUCCUUCGAAGAGUCGAGUUGUUUGGGAAUGCAGCUCUAAGUGGGUGGUAAAUUCCAUCUAAAGCUAAAUAUUGGCGAGAGACCGAUAGCGAACAAGUACAGUGAUGGAAAGAUGAAAAGAACUUUGAAAAGAGAGUGAAAAAGUACGUGAAAUUGUUGAAAGGGAAGGGCUUUUGAUCAGACUUGGUGUUUAGUACUCUCUACUCCUUGUGGGUGGGGCUCUUGCUUUAUACUGGGCCAGCAUCGGUUUGGAUGGUAGGAUAAUGGCAUUGGAACGUGGCUCCACUUGUGGAGUGUUAUAGCCCUUGCUGAUGCUACCUAUCUAGACCGAGGACUGCGUCUUUGACUAGGAUGCUGGCGUAAUGAUUAAAAGCCGCCCGUCUUGAAACACGGACCAAGGAGUCUAACGUCUAUGCGAGUGUUUGGGUGUAAAACCCGUACGCGUAAUGAAAGUGAACGUAGGUGAGGGCCCUUUUUCUGGGUGCAUCAUCGACCGAUCCUGAUGUUUUCAGAU